GGGGGGGGGGUGGCUGGUCUACUGAUGAACUUCAGCUGAGGUGACCCGGUUCGGUUCGGUUCGGUGGUCCCUUAUGGCCCAGUAGUGACCAUCGUGCUUUUUAACACAAACAGCUACGGACUGGAAUCUGUGACGUAAGCAGGGUUCGGAGGAGCAGCCGAACCGGUUCUGAUCCGCAGAUCUUCCGGUCUGGUUCGGUCCGGAUCUCCAGAAGGCCUCCGCUGCAGGAUCCAGGCCUCGGUGUUUCCUGCUCUUCCUCGCCUCCUCGGGUCUCCCCCUGCCGGCCCCUCCCUCUCCGGUUUCUCCCCCCUCCUCCCUCUCCUCUUUGAUCUCACCCCCCGCCCCCCCUCUGUCGGCUCUUUAAAGGGAAAGGGUUGGGCUCGUGCUCCCUCUGCGUGGGCCCCGUCUCGUGCCGUGGGUCUCCUCCGACAUUCAGAGGCUGCAGCGGGCCGGCGCUCCGUCCUCAGUCCGGAACAGAACCGAGCUGCGGCCGUUCGGUCCGAACCGGUCCGACCGAACCUCUGGAUGAAGCGGAGUCCGGUUCGAGGCUUUAUCCCUCCAGCAUCUUAAAGAUGUUGGACCAGAACCAAGAAAGGCGGAGUUUGGGACCCAGCAGCUGCGUCCUCUGAACAGCCGUAGGACGAUGACAUCAUAGCGCGGCACUGAGGUCCGUUCGGAUUGGAAGACUCCUUGUCAUGUGGCCGAUGACGCCGCGGUAUCCUCCGCAGCCUCCAAUAUCCCAGGAUUCAUUGCGAGACCAACUGCAUGGGUUUUUAUCUAACUGUGCAAAUGGGUUAGGCUGUAAUUUAAGCUCAGACUAUCUCUGCAGGGCGGGGACUAUAAAUCUGGUAUCUGAGACGAGCGUACUGCUGCUGAAGCUCCUCAGGAAGGUUAUCCGAUUUAAAGACAGAUUAGAUCCCAUGAAUGAUGCAUGAAAAGCAAGAUCUGGUUCUGAUUGUCUCCCUCUAGUGGAGAACUUCUGCUACAGGAAGCUGCACCACUGAUCCUACUCACUGCCAGGGCGGAGUAAAGCCGGCCGCCAUAUUGGUACUCCCUAGUUAGACCGGUCUCAAUCUGUGCGCUACAGGAUCAAACAAUGAUGAAGUUCUCAUUAUUAGUUUAAGACUUUUAAAAUAAAGAUAAAUUCAUCAGUUUGACUCA